UACGUAGGGCGCAAGCGUUGUCCGGAAUUAUUGGGCGUAAAGAGCUCGUAGGCGGUCUGUUGCGUCCGCUGUGAAAACUCGGGGCUUAACCCCGAGCCUGCAGUGGAUACGGGCAGACUAGAGGUAGGUAGGGGAGAAUGGAAUUCCCGGUGUAGCGGUGAAAUGCGCAGAUAUCGGGAGGAACACCAGUGGCGAAGGCGAGUCGCUGGGAUGAUGCUGACGCUGAGGCGCGAAAGCGAGGGGAGCAAACGGG
rnacentral:rRNA from 1 species